rnacentral:pre_miRNA from 1 species
UUGUUACUCCCUCCGUCCGAAAAUACUUGUCAUCAAAAUGGACAAAAAUGGAUGUAUAUAGAACUAAAAUACAUCUAGAUACAUCCCCUUUUAUUCAUUUUGAUGACAAGUAUUUCCGGACGGAGGGAGUACGUA